UACGUAGGGUGCAAGCGUUGUCCGGAAUUAUUGGGCCUAAAGCAUCCGUAGCCGGUCAUGCAAGUCCUCCGUUAAAUCCAGCCGCUCAACGGUUGGGCUGCGGAGGAUACUACGUGGCUAGGAGGCGGGAGAGGCAAGCGGUACUCAGUGGGUAGGGGUAAAAUCCUUUGAUCCAUUGAAGACCACCAGUGGCGAAGGCGGCUUGCCAGAACGCGCUCGACGGUGAGGGAUGAAAGCUGGGGGAGCAAACCGG
rnacentral:rRNA from 1 species